rnacentral:rRNA from 1 species
AUUGAACGCUGGCGGCAUGCCUUACACAUGCAAGUCGAACGGCAGCACGGGAGCAAUCCUGGUGGCGAGUGGCGAACGGGUGAGUAAUACAUCGGAACGUGCCCAGUAGUGGGGGAUAACCCGGCGAAAGCCGGACUAAUACCGCAUACGACCUACGGGUGAAAGCAGGGGAUCGCAAGACCUUGCGCUAUCGGAGCGGCCGAUGUCAGAUUAGCUUGUUGGCGGGGUAAAAGCCCACCAAGGCGACGAUCUGUAGCUGGUCUGAGAGGACGACCAGCCACACUGGGACUGAGACACGGCCCAGACUCCUACGGGAGGCAGCAGUGGGGAAUUUUGGACAAUGGGCGCAAGCCUGAUCCAGCCAUGCCGCGUGCGGGAAG